GAUGAACGCUGGCGGUAUGCUUAACACAUGCAAGUCGAACGGACUCUUCGGAGUUAGUGGCGGACGGGUGAGUAACGCGUGAGAAUCUGGCUUUGGGUUCGGGACAACCACUGGAAACGGUGGCUAAUACCGGAUGUGCCGAGAGGUAAAAGAGAAAUUGCCUGAAGAUGAGCUCGCGUCUGAUUAGCUAGUUGGUGAGGUAAAGGCUCACCAAGGCAGCGAUCAGUAGCUGGUCUGAGAGGAUGACCAGCCACACUGGGACUGAGACACGGCCCAGACUCCUACGGGAGGCAGCAGUGGGGAAUUUUCCGCAAUGGGCGAAAGCCUAACGGAGCAAUACCGCGUGAGGGAAGAAGGCUCUUGGGUUGUAAACCUCUUUUCUUAGGGAAGAACAAAAUGACGGUACCUAAGGAAUCAGCAUCGGCUAACUCCGUG
rnacentral:rRNA from 1 species